UAAAAAAAGAACGUAAAAUCCACCUCGUGUGCAGUGUGUUUAGCAGAGGGCAAAGAGAUCAGGCCAGGUAGAGGAGAAGCAGCUGAGAGGUACCUGGGAGUCCCCACAGGACUGAUGACUUCUGGAAGAUGGAACCUACACACCCCUUUAAAGUCAGAGACAGAGUCGUGGUGAAGGUGCUCCCCAGGAACAAGAGCCCAGGAGACUUCACCUAUGGUCCAGAGACAGAGGUCGUAGCAGUUACCCGAACAGCAGUCCUGACAGAGGAAAGUCCUACCUGGAUCCAUGCAUCCCGAGUAAAAAAGGUUCCUAGACCAGACCUAGAGAGGGAAGCAAGUGAUUCCAGUGAGGUACGAACCGGGGCAGACAGCCCUGACCUCCCACCUAGCGAAGACAGAAGAACAGAAAACGAUGAAGAACCUGCCCCCUAUCUUUACCCUGGGGACUAUCUUGAUAGCCCUACUGGCCCAUUUUCCCCUCUCAAUGACUGAGGUUGAUAUAACUCAGAAUAAGGGAAACUGACACUAUGGUAUAACUCUUCCACCACAUACACCGCAACCUACAUACUAGAUUAUUUCCAAUUCCCCCAACUAGCUGCUGUCCAAAAGUCUGUUGACUACCAGAUCCGCGCUGACACCACAGACAACCUAAGCCCCGAGGUACCCUAUAUUUGCGUUACAGGCCAUAACUGGGGAAAUGAUUGCAGCUCAUGGUCCGCGGCUGCCUGGAACACAGGUACCCCAUGGGGCUAUAAGCCCGCUGAAGCCUUAGAUGAAAAGGAUAAACACGGAACAUCAUUAACCCAACGAUUAACCCUUCUUAAAAUGCCCAACAAUUACUGCAACUCCCGCUCAGGCUAAAAAUUGCGCCAUUGGUGUGCAGAAAGACGUAAGCUUUGCAAGAAUCAUAUAGUAUAACAAUAAUGAUUCUAAGAGGGGAUUGAAGGGUUAAACAUGCUAUAUGAAUUGUUAUGUGUUUGAAUAGACACGUACGCACUCUCUACAAGAUGCCUUUGUCUGUUCAUAUAAUAUAAGGCUUGUGUGUGUCUUAUCUUCAAGGACAAUUACAUACCAGAUCAAAACUGUUACUUCUGUGUGUUACUAAAAUAUCCUGCAUGUAAUGUCGUAUGCUACUUCUAUUUAUCCAAUCAUAUGCUUGCACAUAUUGUAUACACCCAUGUUUCUUUUCUAUAUAGUACGCUGUAAUUUAUUAAAUAAACAGUGUGAAUCUU